AAGUCGGACUAUCGUACUCUGGAACACGCUUCAAUAGAUUAACGUUCGUGCGCAUGAGCACGCAAUCGCGUGAUACCGGGUUGUCAUAUGACACAGUUGCAGCAGCCAUAAAGGAUCCACUCGUCUUGGCCAAAUUGCAGUUCUACGCAGCAAUUGCCAGGACCUUCAAUCCCUUCCUGAAAAAAUAUCAGACGGAUAAGCCUGUGCUCCCAUUCCUCCCCAAGGACCUGACCGAGUUGAUGGUGGUAACAAUUUACUUAACGUUAUAACCACUGAUUGGGCUCAAUUGAUCCAUUAUGACAAAAUGGGGUUUGUGGUUAGGAUGUGUAAAAAAUAGUUGCUACAUUGUGCAUCAUCAUAAGAUAAUUUGAUGUUGGUGAUUAAUGUGCCGCACCAGACAUUUUUGUGUUUGUCUGUUGACAGAGUCUACUCAGACGCUUCAUAAAGAGAGAAGUACUACACGAUAUCACUGCCCUGCAGCUGACCAAACUGGAUGUCACAGACAAGACCAUCUGGCUCAGCCCACAAGACAUCAGCAUUGGUCUAGGUGCAGAGUUAGUCCUUUAGGGGAUGUCAUACUGCAGCAGUUCGACAGUCUCCUGUCCUUGGAGAGCCGGAGUGAGGACUUCCUCUCCUUUCAACCCAUGCAGAAGAGGCUGGACAUCUUCCUGAGCAGCGCCAUGGAGCCUUAUCCCGAGCUGUGGGCCUUCUGCAAGAAGCUGCUCAUCCUCUCCCACGGUCAAGCUAGUUGAGCGUGGAUUCUCAAUCAAUAAAGAGGUGGAGUCUGAUAACUUGGCGGAGGAUACUGUGGUCACACGGAGACUGGUGUGUGACUACAUCAUACAACGUGGAGGCGUUACCAAGGCAAAAUGACUCCUGUCUGGAGUAGUAAUAUGCUGUUGACUUAAAAGUUGAUAGAAUCAACAUAGUUGGUCUCUUGAGUUUGUCACUGAAUCUGGUUCUCUUUCCCCAACCCGAUACCCAGGUUCCAUUCAGUAAACCGCUACUGGAAAGUGUAGCAAGGGCAAGGACAAGGUAUCGUACCCAUCUGGAGACCAAAAGAAGGAACAGGGAGGAAAAAGACCAGGCUCUCAAGAGGAGGGAAGCAGAGGACUGUCUUGAGGAGCUGAAGGUUAAGAGGAGACGUGUACAGGAGGUAUCUGAGGGUCUGGCUAGGGAUGCGGACAAGAUGGCUGAGGAGGCUGAAGCGAAGGCAGGGAGCAAGAUGGCUGGCCUGAUCACCAGGUCAAACAUCUUGCGGAGAGGCCAUAAGGAGAAGUUGGCAGAACUGGCUCUCCUUGAUAAAGAGAUCGCUGCUAAGAGUGCAGAGCUUAGGAGUUGACUGUGUGAUGGUGAUCAUAAUUUUAUUUAUUGUUGAGUUGAUUUUUAUUUUUCAGGAGUCUGUGCUGUUGGCGUAAGUACUCACCACUAUGCUGCAAUGUUCCAUCAUUCCAUAAUGCUUUACAGUCCACAUUUUCACAUUUGUUGAAAUAAAUGAACACAUUUUGAACAAACGUUGUCGGUAGGUCUGUGAAAUAGGCCGUGAAAUAGGUAUUAAUUUUUAUAUAAGUGGUCUUAAAAGGGACUUAAAAAGACUUGAAUUUGACUUGAACAAACCUGUAGGAACCCUGUAAUAAAAUAACCUCAAAC
ensembl:lncRNA